UCUGUAUUCUGCGAGGUAAACUACCCAUAAAAUCCUUAAGGUGUAAAUCUUUCAGAAACUCUAUAAUGGGUAGAGAACUUUGUGUGGUUGAGUUUGAAUUGAGAUGGGCAAAUCCAUGGUUUUUACUACUAGUCACCUUGAGAGUCCCUGUCCUGUGCGGCCUAAAUGGGAUUUGAUGUACAGCAAGGAACGUGUAGUAGCUCAGGCAAAAGAGGCACUUAACCUUCUCAAGGAUACUCCAAAUG